UAAUACGGAGGGUCCGAGCGUUAUCCGGAAUCAUUGGGUUUAAAGGGUCCGCAGGCGGUCGAUUAAGUCAGAGGUGAAAUCCCAUAGCUCAACUAUGGAACUGCCUUUGAUACUGGUUGACUUGAGUCAUAUGGAAGUAGAUAGAAUGUGUAGUGUAGCGGUGAAAUGCAUAGAUAUUACACAGAAUACCGAUUGCGAAGGCAGUCUACUACGUAUGUACUGACGCUGAGGGACGAAAGCGUGGGGAGCGAACAGGAUUAGAUACCCUGGUAGUCCACGCCGUAAACGAUGGAUACUAGUUGUUGGGAUUUAUCUCAGUGUCUAAGCGAAAGUGAUAAGUAUCCCACCUGGGGAGUACGGUCGCAAGACUG
rnacentral:rRNA from 1 species